rnacentral:rRNA from 1 species
GACGUAGGGCGCGAGCGUUUGUCCGGAUUUAUUGGGCGUAAAGAGCUCGUAGGCGGUCUGUCGCGUCUGCUGUGAAAACUCAGGGCUUAACCCUGAGCUUGCAGUGGGUACGGGCAGACUAGAGUGCGGUAGGGGAGACUGGAAUUCCUGGUGUAGCGGUGAAAUGCGCAGAUAUCAGGAGGAACACCGAUUGCGAAGGCAGCUCGCUGGGACGUAACUGACGCUGAGACGCGAAAGCGUGGGGAGCAAACAGG